GAUGAACGCUGGCGGCGUGCCUAAUACAUGCAAGUCGAGCGAACAGACGAGGAGCUUGCUCCUCUGACGUUAGCGGCGGACGGGUGAGUAACACGUGGAUAACCUACCUAUAAGACUGGGAUAACUUCGGGAAACCGGAGCUAAUACCGGAUAACAUGUUGAACCGCAUGGUUAAACAGUGAAAGACGGUCUUGCUGUAACUUAUAGAUGGAUCCGCGCCGCAUUAGCUAGUUGGUAAGGUAACGGCUUACCAAGGCAACGAUGCGUAGCCGACCUGAGAGGGUGAUCGGCCACACUGGAACUGAGACACGGUCCAGACUCCUACGGGAGGCAGCAGUAGGGAAUCUUCCGCAAUGGGCGAAAGCCUGACGGAGCAACGCCGCGUGAGUGAAGAAGGUCUUCGGAUCGUAAAACUCUGUUAUUAGGGAAGAACAAAUGUGUAAGUAACUAUGCACGUCUUGACGGUACCUAAUCAGAAAGCCACGGCUAACUACGUG
rnacentral:rRNA from 1 species